GGAGAGAUGGCUCAGUGGUUAAGAGCACUGACUGCUCUUCCAGAGGUCCUGAGUUCAAAUCCCAGCCACUACA
rfam:Rattus norvegicus chromosome 20, whole genome shotgun sequence.